GUGCAGCCUUGAGGAACUGCUCCGGAAAAUUUCCACUUUCUGACCACAUCUUUUUUCCCAAUGUUAGGGAGCUUCUGUGACUUGCCCAGUGCUUUCAACCUGGAGGUAGAGGACAAAACCAACCAGCUCUGUUUGUUUGCAGCGGGAAGAAUUUCAGCACAAGGGAGUUAAGAAGCCUGUUGGCCGUGGGUCGCAAAGCCAAGCUUUCCUUCCGCACUCCUGGGUGCUCGUAGUGAUAGGAGGGAGUCUGUGCAAGCAGCGCAUGGGCGCUGGGGGGGGGACCUGGGCUGUAAGGAGGUGGAUCCACAUCCAAGAUCCUCAUAUCCCGAUGAGGUAGGAUUUAGCCAAUUUAUCCCCAUUCUACAGAUGAAGAAACUGAAUGCAGCACUCAGAGAAGGUGAUUUCCAUAAAUACUCAACAGGGGUUGUAUUGCAGAUACAUCAAUAUUUCCCAUCUCUGAGUUUGACAUGUGUGUUCAAUGGUCCAAGAAAAUCAAGGUUGGGGGUAGGGGUGAUGGUGCUAAUUUCCCAGAAGCAAUCUGACCUCUGCUCUUUGAAGUGUCACGAAAUUGGCUGGAGACUGCUCCCGUCAGCAGCACUGCACUAGGCUGCUGAAAGCACUUUUAGCACCUGAUUAAAAAGGAGCCUUAUUUUCCUGAGCAAUUACCAGCCUGCCUCUCAUGAUCUCAUCCCAAAGACAAGGAAGAAGAAUGACGGAAGGCUGGCCUCCUGAUGCUCACCCCACAGAACACUGAAUGGCCUGGCCUCACUGGUGUGUGGGAUGUACCAGGCAGGGCUUGGGCUGCGGCGGCCAGAGCUGUAGGGCAGCAAGUAGUGCUCGCCAUGGAGGUAGACUAUAUCCUUUCCAGCUCCGAUGGAGAUCCUGCUCUGGCCUGCAUCCAGCCAUGACCUGGCUCCUGGGGGAAUGAAGCGAAAGGAAGAAAGGAACUGGGCUGAUUUGAAAUCCUCCUGUGGGGAGGUCAUCCCUUUCAUUUCCCAAAACAGCUCUUCCUGGGAGCACUUUAGCCUCAAGGUAUAUUAAAGGAAACAGAGACUCCUCAGGAGAUAACUUCCUGCCCCAAACUACACAGCCAGGAGUUUAGCAAAAAAGGAUUCAAACCCAAGCAGAGCCCUAAACAGCACACUGCAUUACACCAUGUUGCCCUGUAGCAUCCCUGGGCUGCCUUUAUGAGUAGCUAGGGGCUUGUGUUCACCUGGCCUUGCUCCCUCUGGUCUCACAGUGGGUAACAGAAAGUGUGCCCCACCCUGGGCAUGGCUGAAGACUCCUGCCCCCAUUUGUCCUGUAAUUGUGUCACCCCAAGGGCACUCCACACCUGGUCUCAGUCAUAACCAGGGCUGUCUCUUAGAGCUCAUAGUAGCAAGGAGCCAUAAAAAGGAAAUACCCAGUGCUGCCAAAGAUGUGGUCAAACAGGCAUGCUUACUCAUUGCUGGUGGCAGUGGAAAGCAAUUUGGCAAGAUGUAUGCAUACAAGCCUUGAUAAUGUGAAUCUCUUUGGUCCACUAAUCACACAUAUGCAAAUAUAUCUUUUUUUAACAU